UUCCAUUUGCUUGCUUGCCUUUGGCAAUGCGGGGCGUGGUUCGUUUGGUAGCGUUGUGUCCUGCAAACGUGAGUGCGUGUGAGUGGCGAUCGGGAUGGUUGUGCUGUUUGGCUCCUUGCUCAUGGUUUUGGAACUUCCAGCAUGCAACCCUUCUCAUGCACGCCUUGUGCUGGUGGGCCUCGGUGUUGACUUUGCGGUUCCUGUGUUGCCUACCCAUUUAGCGGUAUCCGUGUGCCGCGAAGACCCGUUCCUUCCACGCCCCCUCGUGGAGGCUGAUGGGGGAAUCCUGAUUUGAUGCGUGUUUUGCGUUAGUUGCGCGUUGUAACGGCUCACGUGGCCACACGUGUCUAUUGUUCCCUUGGAUGCGGUGCAUGCGGUGAACGUGGGCUGGUGUUUGUGCCCAGUUAAUUACCUAUGAUAUAUCGGUUGCCUUUCCAAGACACUUUGCCGUAGUGCCGGUCUUGCUAUCCCAUUUGUGGUGGCAACAUUUGCACGUCGUGCAUAGUCGUCAAUGGAUGCUACCUGGUUGAUC
rnacentral:misc_RNA from 1 species